CGACACCAGCAGGAUUUGAACCAGCGCGGGCAGAGCCAAGUGAUAACUGAAUUCUACAAUUCGAGUCACUCGCCUUAACCACUCGGCCAUAGUGCC
rnacentral:tRNA from 1 species